rnacentral:lncRNA from 1 species
CUGAGGUUGACUGCCGCUGCAGCGGGCGGCAAAGUGAUCAAAGUGAGGUGGCGGGUCGAAGCAGCUCUGGGAGACGCCCACCCACCGUCUCCUCUCCGCCCCAUCUCAGGCAUCCGCCCUUCCUCUGUGUGCCCGGUGCUUACCUGAGCGGUCGCACUUACCACACGCACUGCGACGAUUUUACUCCUCUACUUCUCCCACUUCAAAUCCGGAAGUGCGGUUUAGUCUCGGUGCCCGGAGCGCGGGAGAGUCCUUGCCGUGUGUUCAACAAGUGUUGGAUGGUGGACGGACGGCUCUGUGGCGAGACCAGGAUUGUGACAGUGCCUGCCGUGAACUUUUGGUUUCUCCGUCCCCACACAAUCUUUCAGUGUUUCGGUUGCAAGGACCUCAGAAAUCAUCUGGCGGCUCUGAGAAACAGAAUGUGGUCCGUGUACCCCUGGUGGCCCAGGAGAUUACAUUAAGCUGGGUUACAGCCUUUUUACACCCGCCGAUCCUCUCAGAACCCAUGUCUCAGAGUGAAGAUUACUGUCUCCAGAUUUGGAGCUACCAAUGUAUCAUCUAUGUCCUGCAAGAAUUCCCAGGCCAUCCAAAAAGUCAUCCUCUUUUUUGGAUUAGCCAUUUUGUGAAGCCAGGUGAGCAUGCUAACAUUGGGCCAAAAACACUGGCUCUCCUGCAGAGCCAAGGAUAUAUCGUUGGUUGUUCAUUAGCCAUCAUGGAUUCACAAAAGAUGAGCAAGAUCUCCUGACAUACUGUGUAAUGAGUUCUCUUUUUCAUUUUGUUGGUCUCCCUGUGCGCAUAUAACAAGAGCCUACAGUGUGGCAGGCAAAGCUGGAUGAUAUGAUCUCACCUAAUCUCACAAUGGUCCUGAGAGUAGAAAUUAUUAUACUCUGUUUUUAGGUGAGAAACUGAAACUCAAUCAGAUUAAGUAAUGUGCACAGCAGUAGGCAACAAGUCAUUGAGGGAGCCCAGACUUGAACCCAAGUCUGUCUGAAUACAAAAGCUCUGAGAAGAUUUCUGUGUAUCUGGAAUCCCCUCUUGUAUUGCUUGUUCAAAUGUUCAUGUAUUCAUUGAACUCCUACCAUGUGUCAGACUCUAUAUUGACAAUAGCAAUAAAUAAAUAAAACAGACCAAAAAAAAAAAAUCCCUGUCCAUAAUGACUUAUAGGAGACAAAUAAUGAACAAAACAAAUAAGUGACAUAUCAUAUAUAAUGGUAAUAAGUGAAAAAUAAAGCGGGGCUGGGGGACAAGGAUUACUGGGAUGGAGGGAAUCACAGUUUAAAAUACAGUGCUCAGGAAAGGCCUCCUUACUGGGGAGACAAUUAGGCAAACAAAUGAAAAAGGUAAGUCCCGUCAGAAUGUCAUUAACUCUGAGGCUCCAAAGGCUCAUGGGAGAGUGACUUUUUUUGAAAAGCCAUUGUGUCAGGAGACUCAAAUUGACCUCAGCAAAAAGUGGGAAUGUAUUAGCUCAGGGAAUUGAAGAGUCCAGGCCAGGCUGGAUUCAGGGGUCAAACAAUGUCAUUAGGACACAACCUACUUCAUUUUGUACCUCUGCUUUCCUCUGUGGCGAUUUAUUCUCGUCUCUACACUGAGGUAGAAUGGCUGUCAGCAACCUCAGGCCAACAUCCUGCCAGCUACAGACCCAGAAGGAAAGGGAAAGUGCCCGUCUGCCAACAGUCCAAGCAGAAGUCUCAUCGCACCUCACCGUGUCUCAGGCCCCUGUGGCCACCUCACUGUGAUCAGGAACACAUGGCUCUAAUUGGCUGGGCUGAGUCACCUGCCCAACCCUGGCGUCAGAAGGGGAGGUAACCUAUCAACAGUAACGGAGGGUGGGGCCCCAGUGACAUAUGGGGUGUUGACUACAGAGAAGAGAAAGCAACAAGUAUCCCAAAUAUCGCUGGUCUAAAAAGAAAUUCCUUUAUCCCAUUGUUUGCUCCAUAUGCAAGAGAUGGUUAAGCAUAGACUUCUCCCUAAGAGAUUGCCUGUGGACAGUGCAAGCUCAUUCAGUGCGACUGGUGGUUUCUGGGGUCUCCUGUGAGCAGCACAUUGACAGGAUCUCAGGCCUUCGAGGAUGGCUGGUUGUGUGGUUUUGGCCUGUGACCUCUUGUGCUUUCUCUGUGGGCUUCAGGGAACCAUCCCCAGGGUCAGAAGUUUGUGGCUUUUACUGUCUUGUUCCACUCAGACUGGCUUGUUACCCACUGGGCCUGACAACAUGCCAGAGACACAGUCCUGAAUCUGAAAACCAAGCCUACUACUUUAGUAGAAUCUCAGUGUCUUCCUAGGAAGCUCCAUGCUUGUGCUUUGACGUUAGACGGCUCUAGGGAUGGAUUUUGACUCUAUCAUUUACCUGCCGUGGGACCUUGGGUAAGUCAUGUGACUUCUUGAGCCUCAGAUUUCUUAUUUGCAUAAUGAGGUCAUUAAAUGAGUAAACAAAUGGCCAUGUAUAAAGAAGCUAGUAACAGCCCCACAUACAGCAGGAGCUCGGAAAAUUUGGUUUUUUUUUCUCCCACUCCUCUGUUCCCUUUUUCCAUGAGGCCAUUAUCAGGCUUCCCUGGAGUCCAUGUUAUGCAACUUGCAGAUAAACCUGCCAAAGAAAAAGAAAAAGAAUGAAAAGGAUGGGCAAAUGAACCCUGGGGCGGAGCUGGGGGAUGUGGAGUUAAGGGGAAAAUCAUAGGUUCUGGAAUAAGACUGGGUUUUAAAUAUAGGCCCCAUCACUUGUUACGUAGAAGGCCUUGGGAAAAUUGCUUAAUAUCCCAGAGUACCAAUACCUGAAAAACAGGGAUUGCUAUUUAUGGUGGUAGUGAGAAUUAAUUGAAAUCAUGUCUGUAAGGAACCUGGCACAUAGUAGGCCUUCCAUGGCUCUUGGUUUGUUCUCUUUGUUUUCAAAAGUAAUUAAUACCUGAGUGAGAUAUGAUUGACAAGAAACACACACGAAAUGCCUAGAGAAAAUUAUCUUUUUUUUCAAAACCUGGACUGUCCAGACCUUUGCCUUAUUCUCCUCCUGUUUCACUUGUGCAAUUUUUUUUCCCUUAUGUUGGAGGCUGGGCAGAGGAAAUAAAAAUAAGUCAACAAAGGCAUACUGACAACCUGUCGUGCACAAAGAGAACGCUGUGUUAUGGGUGGGAAAACAAAUAAAUAAAAGAUAUAAUCUUUGAGAAGCUUCUGACCUAAUUAGGGGAAAUAAAACAUGCAAAAAAGGCCAUUUAAAACACUCAUGAGCAAAAUAACAGCCUGUUGACUAAAUGCCAAGGUGGACCACGAAGGAGUAAGCACAUCUGAGUGUGAAAAGUCAGGAAGGUUUCUAAGGGCAGAGAUUCCCAGGGAGAAAGGGCCCAGCAGAAGCCCAGAGGUAGAAUGAACAACACUCUCUUGAGUGUGGGAUGGUGACCUCACUGACUUAUCUGCGCACCAGGAAGGCAUUGUGUGCAGGUAAUGAGAUGGCAAGUCACGAGGCUCUUGGGCAACUGAAUGAGGUCAAUCCCAAAUCGGCAUUCUUACCUGUUACUGGCACUAGUAACACAAACAAAUCCAGGCUCCCCAAACUGACUGGUUGGAGGAAGAGUUGAAACUCUCAUCCACCACAAGAUGGGGACCAUCCCUAUCAUCACUGUUUUAUGUACGUCUGAAUUUUCUGUGCAACUCUUACAUAGUAGUGAAGCUACAUGUCUCUGGGCAGGGUUGCAUUGAACAAGAACUGGAGCUCCAUCAGUGCCCCAUGUCAGCACAGAACAAGUAACGGUGCCACCUCCCACUGCAGCGUAGAUCACUGGAUCCUCCACUUCCGCAGCCAAGGACAGGGGAUGCUGAAGCUGGUGCUCCUGCCUCUGGACGCUGGUCUGCAGUUUUACGCUCCCAAGCCCAUUUUAGCUUCUAAAUAUGACCUUCCUCUGGGCUCUUCUCGACAGCUCUGACAUCAUGGCAUGAUGGGUAUGGGCAUGGCUCUGUCCCUUCCUAGCUGUGUGAAAUUUAGCCAGCUAAACGUAAGGAUGAUGCUAAUAAUGAUAAUCCUCUCCCAUAAUUGCUGGGAGGUAAUUAGUUUAAAAGGCUUUGCACAGUGUCUGGCACGUAGCAAUCACUUACUAAAUAGUGCUUAUUAUUACCUUAACUGGUUUGAAAUUUGGUGAAUUUGGGACACUGUUUUCUCCAGAGCACAAAAGGCAGAUUUAUGUGGCCCAGAAUGGACUGGAGCUUAGGUUAGACCCAGGUGUGAUUCUAGCGUUGCGGAAUGGAGAAUCUUCUGUCUUUAACUUUCUGGUGUAGUUGAAUGUCUGAAACACUCUUUGGUAGGAAGGUUCAUGGAAAGACUCAGUGGAACAGAGGUCUGUGUGUUUGCUUUUAUUUUAUUUUAUUUAUUUAUUUAUUUU